rnacentral:rRNA from 1 species
GGCUUAGAAGCAGCCACUCAUUAAAAGAGUGCGUAAUAGCUCACUGGUCGAGUGACUCUGCGCGGAAAAUAUAACGGGGCUAAGCAUGAAACCGAAGCUUGGGCUUGUACUUAGGUACAGGGGUAGGGGAGCGUCGAGUAUGGGGUGAAGUCAGAGCGGAAGCACUGGUGGACUGUACUGGAGUGAGAAUGCCGGAAUGAGUAGCGAGAAUUAUGUGGGAAUCAUAAUGGCCGAAAAUCUAAGGUUUCUUGGGGAAGGUUCGUCCGCCCAAGGUAAGUCGGGAGCUAAGCUCAGGCCGAGAGGCGUAGGCGAUGCACAUACGGUAGAAAUUCCGUAACCACCGAAACUUAAACAGAGGGACACUUCGAAAUAGCGGAACCCGGGCGUUGGUUGACCCGGGCGUAAGGGAGCGAAAUUAGAGUAGCGAAGUCCGCGAUGUUCGGAGGCGAGAAAAGCUCUGAGGUAUGCUAAGGUGCCCGUACCGCAAACCGACACAGGUAGAUGAGGAGAGAAUCCUAAGGCCAACGGGAGAAGGGUUGUUAAGGAACUCGGCAAAUUGACCCCGUAACUUCGGGAGAAGGGGUGCUCCAGAGAUGGAGCCGCAGAGAAUCGGCCCAAGCAACUGUUUACCAAAAACACAGGUUUGUGCUAAAUCGAAAGAUGACGUAUACGAGCUGACGCCUGCCCGGUGCUGGAAGGUUAAGAGGAGAUGUGCAAGCAUUGAAUCGAAGCCCCAGUGAACGGCGGCCGUAACUAUAACGGUCCUAAGGUAGCGAAAUUCCUUGUCAGGUAAGUUCUGACCCGCACGAAAGGCGUAACGAUUUGGGCGCUGUCUCAGCUGUAGACUCGGUGAAGUCUUAGUACCUGUGAAGAUGCAGGUUACCCGCGACUAGACGGAAAGACCCCAUGGAGCUUCACUGCAGGUUGAUAUUGGGAUUUGAUGCAGCAUGUACAGGAUAGGUAGGAGGCUAGGAGAUGGAUACGCCAGUAUUCAAGGAGCCGCUGUUGGGAUACUACCCCUGUUGUAUUGGAUUUCUAACCGGACGACGUAGAGCCGUUGACGGGACAGUGUCAGUCGGGCAGUUUGACUGGGGCGGUCGCCUCCCAAAGAGUAACGGAGGCGCCCAAAGAUACCCUCAGCUUGGAUGGAAACCAAGCGCAGAGUGCAAAGGCAAAAGGGUGUUUGACUGCGAGACCCACAAGUCGAGCAGGGACGAAAGUCGGGCUUAGUGAUCCGGCGGUGCUGAAUGGAAAGGCCGUCGCUCAACGGAUAAAAGCUACCCUGGGGAUAACAGGCUGAUCUCCCCCAA